GUUUUAUUUUAUUUUAUCGUUGGGAUGAAAUACCUUUUUUUUUUCUUGGAAUAGAAAGAGGAAAAAUGUUUCUGAAGAAAAAUGUUUUGGAGAUUUUCUUUUAUGAAGAGUUACAUUUAUUAUAUAUGAGUAUUUAUUAUACACAAAUAUUAGUCUACUCUGAAUAUUUAUUAUUAAUUAUUAUUGUUUUUUUUCCUGAAAGAAUUAUUUUAACUGCAACGUUCUAUCAAUACUUUUACUACAUUUAAGUACUUUUACUUUUAUUCUGGUAAUAUUUUUACUAUAUGCAUGAACUUGAACUUGUAAUGUGGUAUUAGUACCUUCACUACAUUUAUGUACUCUUACCUGUAGUGUUCCAUUAAUAGUUUUACUACAUGUAUGUAUUUGGACUUGCAGUGUGGUAUUAGUACCCUUGUCGCAUGUAGGUACUUGUAUGUCAUUAGUACCUUUACUGCAUGUAGGUACUUGUAUUCAGUCAUUAGUACCUUUACAGCAUGUGGGUACUUGUAUUCAGCCAUUAGUACCUUCACUGCAUGUGGGUACUUGUAUCCAGUCAUUAGUACCUUUACUGCAUGUAGGUACCUGUACUUGUAUUCAAUCAUUAGUACAUUCACUGCAUGUAGGUACUUGUAUUCAGCCAUUAGUACCUUUACUGCAUGUAGGUACCUGUACUUGUAUCCAGUCAUUAGUACCUUUACUGCAUGUAGGUACCUGUACUUGUAUUCAAUCAUUAGUACAUUCACUGCAUGUAGGUACUUGUAUCC
ensembl:lncRNA